AAAGGCUUUAAGUUAAGCAAACUAAUAGCCUUCAAAGCUGUAAAUAAAGUAUAAUUCUUUAAGCCUUA
rnacentral:tRNA from 1 species